rnacentral:rRNA from 1 species
CACCGCAUGUCGGUGCCAACUGGCGUUUUGCGGGACGUCCUGUCGGUGGUGCGUCAGGAAUCUUAGUUGUGCUAUGCUUUGCUUAGUGCAGCUCUGGUUGUCGGGCCACUUUCAUAAUCCCGCCGCGGUGCUCUUAAUCGAGUGUCGAGGCGGGCCGGCACGUUUACUUUGAACAAAUUAGAGUGCUUCAAGCAGGCUUGUCACGCCUGUAUACUGUGUGCAUGGGAAUAAUGGAAUAGGACCUCGGUUCUAUUUUGUUGGUUUCCGGAAUCUGAGGUAAUGAUCAAUGGGGACAGGCGGGGGCAUUCGUAUUGCGACGUUAGAGGUGAAAUUCUUGGAUCGUCGCAAGACGGACCGAAGCGAAAGCAUUUGCCAAGUAUGUUCCCGUCGAUCAAGAACGAAAGUUAGAGGUUCGAAGGCGAUCAGAUACCGCCCUAGUUCUAACCAUAAACAAUGCCUGCCAGCGAUCCGCCGGCGUCCCUCCGAUGACCCGGCGGGCAGCUUCCGGGAAACCAGAGCUUUUGGGUUCCGGGGGAAGUAUGGUUGCAAAGCUGAAACUUAAAGGAAUUGACGGAAGGGCACCACCAGGAGUGGAGCCUGCGGCUUAAUUUGACUCAACACGGGAAAACUCACCAGGCCCGGACACCGGAAGGAUUGACAGAUUGAUAGCUCUUUCUUGAUUCGGUGGGUGGUGGUGCAUGGCCGUUCUUAGUUGGUGGAGCGAUUUGUCUGGUUAAUUCCGAUAACGAACGAGACUCUAGCCUACUAACUAGACGUAUCUGGUAUCAGCAAUCGUGCUACCAGCGAUCAUAUCUCUUCUUAGAGGGACAGGCGGCUUCUAGCCGCACGAGACUGAGCAAUAACAGGUCUGUGAUGCCCUUAGAUGUCCUGGGCCGCACGCGCGCUACACUGAAGGAAUCAGCGUGUCUUCCCUGUCCGAAAGGACCGGGUAACCCGCUGAACCUCCUUCGUGCUUGGGAUUGGGGCUUGCAAUUGUUCCCCAUGAACGAGGAAUUCCCAGUAAGCGCG